UUGUCGGGUAAGUUCCGACCUGCACGAAUGGCGUAAUGAUGGCCACGCUGUCUCCACCCAAGACUCAGUGAAAUUGAAAUCGCUGUUAAGAUGCAGUGUACCCGCGGCUAGACGGAAAGACCCCGUGAACCUUUACUAUAGCUUCACAGUGGACUCUGAUAUUACUUGUGUAGGAUAGCUGGGAGGCUUUGAAACCUAGGCGCUAGCUUAGGUGGAGCCAAUCUUGAAAUACCAGCCUGGUACUAUUGGGGUUCUAACUCUGGACCAUUAUCUGGUUCGAGGACAUUGUGUGGUGGGUAGUUUGACUGGGGCGGUCUCCUCCCAAAGUGUAACGGAGGAGCACGAAGGUGCGCUAAUCACGGUCGGAAAUCGUGAGGUUAGUGUAAUGGCACAAGCGCGCUUAACUGCGAGACUGACAAGUCGAGCAGGUACGAAAGUA
rnacentral:rRNA from 15 species